rnacentral:rRNA from 1 species
GAUGAACGCUGGCGGCGUGCCUAAUACAUGCAAGUCGAGCGAACAGACGAGGAGCUUGCUCCUCUGACGUUAGCGGCGGACGGGUGAGUAACACGUGGAUAACCUACCUAUAAGACUGGGAUAACUUCGGGAAACCGGAGCUAAUACCGGAUAAUAUAUUGAACCGCAUGGUUCAAUAGUGAAAGACGGUUUUGCUGUCACUUAUAGAUGGAUCCGCGCCGCAUUAGCUAGUUGGUAAGGUAACGGCUUACCAAGGCAACGAUGCGUAGCCGACCUGAGAGGGUGAUCGGCCACACUGGAACGGAGACACGGUCCAGACUCCUACGGGAGGCAGCAGUAGGGAAUCUUCCGCAAUGGGCGAAAGCUUGACGGAGCAACGCCGCGUGAGUGAUGAAGGUCUUCGGAUCGUAAAGCUCUGUUAUUAGGGAAGAACAAAUGUGUAAGUAACUAUGCACGUCUUGACGGUACCUAAUCAGAAAGCCACGGCUAACUACGUG